rnacentral:ncRNA from 3 species
GACGAACCGUGCGAACGUUAUUCGGAAUCACUGGGCUUAAAGCGCGUGUAGGUGGGUUGCCACGUCGGAUGCUGAAAUCCCUCGGCUCAACCGAGGAACGGGCACCGAUACGAGCGACCUGGAGGGGGGUAGGGGGAGCUGGAACUUCCGGUGGAGCGGUGAAAUGCGUUGAGAUCGGAAGGAACGCCCGUGGCGAAAGCGAGCUCCUGGACCUUUUCUGACACUGAGACGCGAAAGCUAGGGGAGCGAACGGG